UACGUAGGGCGCAAGCGUUGUCCGGAAUUAUUGGGCGUAAAGAGCUCGUAGGCGGCUUGUCACGUCGGGUGUGAAAGCCCGGGGCUUAACCCCGGGUCUGCAUUCGAUACGGGCUGGCUGGAGUGUGGUAGGGGAGAUCGGAAUUCCUGGUGUAGCGGUGAAAUGCGCAGAUAUCAGGAGGAACACCGGUGGCGAAGGCGGAUCUCUGGGCCAUUACUGACGCUGAGGAGCGAAAGCGUGGGGGAGCGAUCCGG
rnacentral:rRNA from 1 species